rnacentral:ncRNA from 1 species
GUCUUCAUGGCGGGGUGGAAUUCCCGACCGGCGGUAGAGUCCGCGACGGAUGGCAGGGCCAUCUUUGAUCCGGUGCGAUUCCGGAACCGACAGUACAGUCUGGAUGAGAGAAGACG